GUAGGGAAUCUUCGGCAAUGGACGAAAGUCUGACCGAGCAACGCCGCGUGAGUGAAGAAGGUUUUCGGAUCGUAAAACUCUGUUGGUAGAGAAGAACGUUGGUGAGAGUGGAAAGCUCAUCAAGUGACGGUAACUACCCAGAAAGGGACGGCUAACUACGUGCCAGCAGCCGCGGUAAUACGUAGGUCCCGAGCGUUGUCCGGAUUUAUUGGGCGUAAAGCGAGCGCAGGUGGUUUAUUAAGUCUGGUGUAAAAGGCAGUGGCUCAACCAUUGUAUGCAUUGGAAACUGGUAGACUUGAGUGCAGGAGAGGAGAGUGGAAUUCCAUGUGUAGCGGUGAAAUGCGUAGAUAUAUGGAGGAACACCGGUGGCGAAAGCGGCUCUCUGGCCUGUAACUGACACUGAGGCUCGAAAGCGUGGGGAGCAAACAGGAUUAGAUACCCUUGUAGUCC
rnacentral:rRNA from 1 species